rnacentral:lncRNA from 1 species
CACGUAGCAAUCCCUACAAAAGCAUAUUGCUUUUAACACGGCUUGUGAAAGAAAGCCCGGGACUGGUGGCACCGGGCAGGAGCUCAGCACCUUUCCAUCCGUGGUCAGCUCAGCACUACUGGGACCCCACCGUAGGCUCAAGGCUGAAGUGCCAGCGGCUUUCCUUUCGUGCCAUUCCCGGCCCGACGUGCCGAGGACUCAGAAGCCCUCAUCCCAGGCCAACAGCCAGAGGGAAGCGCGAUGUCGAUGCAAGGCUGAGAGCCGGGGAAAAUUCUAAAUUAAGCAGAAAACGGAGCUUAUCUGGAGCAAAAUCACGCACGAGGAGAAUGCAGAGAGCAGCAGACGCAGCUGAGCGGAGAAAGCGAGACAAGGUCCAAGGAAAACAAAAAGCGAGAAGGCAACAAUGCACUGCCCUAACGAAGUCGGUGCGUUCUCAGUGCCUUCCAGUUCCCAGCUCACUGCCUGGUCCUGACUCGGGCAAAACUGACCACCUAGGAGUUUAACGCCUAGAAGUAGGUAUUACCAUUUUUUAAAUUUAUUUUUCUUUCCUUUUUUUUUUCUCUUUUCUUUCUUUUUUUUUUUUUUAAGAGUUGCUCUUGUUAAACUGUCAAACCGUUCUUUUUAUUGUAUUUUGCAGAAAUAUUUUCGCAAGCCAAGGGAACAAAUCCUGCGAGACCUGGCGCUGAUUAAGUAGAGGGCAUGCCUGCAAACACACUUCGCAGUAAUUUGGGGGCUGUCACUUCCAGCAGAAGAGAAAAUGGUUUUUUGCUAUAUAAUGAACAUGAGGGCACAGGGAAGUUUCACCUGAAGAGCGUUACAGCUCUGAAGACCUCUGACCUGCACCGAGCAGUGAGAGAGAAGGGAACUCAGCUAGCAACUGCAUUGCAAAAACCACCAAAUGAAGAUGAGCAAUACAUGGUGACUGUUUUUUUUUUGUUGUUGUUGUUUGGUUUUUGUUUUUUUUUUUUUAAUCUAAUCAUUAUUAACUUGGCCUUGAGAUGUGUUUAGAAUUAUCUAGGCAUCAUUCACAACUAUUUUAUUUGCUUGGUCUAUUUCUGUUUGAUUAAAACCUGG